AAAAACAAACUGUCACUCUCCAAUUUUUCGAUUAUCCAGAACGUAUUAAUGAAGCUUUUUUUUGUGUUUUGAAUCUCUCAAUUGAGAAUUAUCGAGUUUUGAUCUACACAUAUUUUUUUCUACAUAUUUUACAUCAUCAUUCAUAUUUUGCAUCUGAAAAAAAUCUUAUCUGAAGAUAAUGACGAUGACAACGCGUACGAUUUAUUGGCGAAAAAAUUUCCAUAAAAACGGUCCAUAGAAAAAUAGAUUCUUUCAUAUUUUCCUCAUUUUUCGGGGCCUAGAAAAAGAUUGAGAGAUGAAGAAUAACAUACACAUCUGUCGUUUUUUUGGCCGUCAUAAUUAUCUGAUUCUAAUAUCUAGUCUUAUCGAAUUAUCUUCUCAUCCAUUUGUGUGUGCGCGUGUGAAUAUAUUGGAUCCAGAGCAGAAAAAUGAUUACUCGAAACAAUAACCGAAAAAUUAGAUUUCUAACUGAAAUUAUACAACCAAAGAAUUUUGCUUGGUCAGACUAAAAAGGCAGAAAAUUUUUGAAAUAAAAGUCAAAAGCCAA